rnacentral:rRNA from 1 species
CAGUCGCCACGGUAAUACGAAGGGUGCAAGCGUUAAUCGGAAUUACUGGGCGUAAAGCGUGCGUAGGCGGUGAGUUAAGUCUGCUGUGAAAUCCCCGGGCUCAACCUGGGAAUGGCAGUGGAUACUGGCUCGCUAGAGUGUGUCAGAGGAUGGUGGAAUUCCCGGUGUAGCGGUGAAAUGCGUAGAGAUCGGGAGGAACAUCAGUGGCGAAGGCGGCCAUCUGGGACAACACUGACGCUGAGGCACGAAAGCGUGGGGAGCAAACAGGAUUAGAUACCCCAGUAGUCCCUGUCUCUUAUAC